ensembl:lncRNA
GGAGAUCUUAAGGUGCCCCCUAGGGGACUGGUGGGAAGUCCCCUUCUGGAUCAGCCCUUCCUAGAGAGCUCACGGCUCCACCAGUGGUGACAAACGGAGGGGACCCAGCACAGAGAGGGGAAGGAGACGUGGGCGUGGAACCGGCUGGAGGUCUCCUCGGGACCUCACACUCUCCCCACCGUGUCCCCGACACCAGUCCAUGGACCCGCAGCCCAGCCAAAUGCCCAGCCUCUCCUCGCAGACCCUGGUCCUGCCUCCAUUCCCCAAGAGGAUGCCCUCCUACCACCCACCCACCCGCAACAACACCUGGACCCCGGGACCCCCGAAAGACAAGAUGUGGGACCCUGAGGAGGAGGAUCCCGGAGUUUGACUGCCCAGAUGUCCGCUGAACACCGGCCUCUUGCGAGGCACUUACGCCGUCUGUCCAGCCAAGCCCGCACCUUGCCCUGCAGCAGAGGGACUGCCACCCUCAUUCUGCAGAUUUCCAAUAACACAGUCAAGUUGCUUAAAUGAUCCUGCACCCAGGUCCUCACCGUGGGCUCUGCUGUUCCGAAUAUGAAGACGAAGCCAGACUUGGAGAACAGGGCCUUGAGGGUUUGUGUCUCUCGUUCCCAGAUUUCCAAUAACACAGUCAAGUUGCUUAAAUGAUAAGACAUUUUUGGGGGGAGAAAAAUUAAUGUUUUAUUUCUGUUUACAGUGAUAUAAUAUACUACUUAGUAUAAAUUAUAAAUAACUUAUGAGAAAAGAGAAGACAUCCCUUAUAUCCAGAAAAUAAAACAUUAA